GGGAAGAUCACAGAAUGGCUAAGGUCUGUGGACUCUGGUGGGGACCGGUGCUGCCCAUCCUGAACUGGACUAUGGAGCCUAGUGAAACAUAAGCCACACAGUGACAUCUGGGCAGUCCACAUACACUGAGGACAUCAGGAGGAAACUGAAUGAGAGGCUGCACCUGGUGGCAUCUUGGAGCUGCAGAACCUUCACGUUAGCCACUACCUCAUAUUUCAUAGGGUACAGGGGAAGCGGGGGCCGUACCGCAGGCCUGCACCCCAUAGCUGACACAGGGCGAGUCUGGGCUUGGAGCCUCCGCGAGCUCAGAAUGUUGGACCUGAGUGUUCCCUGCUCCCUCUGAGAUGACAGGUGAGCCUGUGCCAGGAAGAUCUGAGCUUCUGCACCUCUGUCUUCAUGAGCAGAAAAUCACCUUGGCCUGGGAGAUGACCAGAUCCACUGUGUGCAGGAGAAAACUUCAGUCUCAAAGAGGUCAAGCUGUCUCCCGAGACUUACAGGAAAUAACCAAGAUUCUCACUCAACUCUGGGAUGUAUCCUCCACUUACCUGUCUGUGUUAUAUCCCACCUCCCAGCCCUGUGGACAGGAAAAGACAAGGGCUGAGGAUGCUGGGGAGAAAAAGGUCCUGGAGCCAAGCAGCAGGAGAAACCAGAGCAGCAAAGGGAAGUUCUUGCGUGGCAGCAGAGGUAGUGACCACAGUGGCAGGAUGGGGAAUCCGUGGCCCCAUUCUGUCAUUGAACAGCUCUGUGGGGUCACAGUGCAGCACCUAGUGGACAUUCACAAGUACUAUCUGAAGGAGCAAAACAGACUCUUAAAUAAUGUGACUCAUUAUUAUUCACAGAAUCACAUGAUGUCAAGAGAGACAGGAUGUCCGAUGUCCCAGACACAUCUGGUGGGGGAGCCAGCGAUCAGGGAGUGACCCCUGGCCCAUGGGCUUAGGAUGACUCAUGUGCCAACUCCCUUUGAUGACGUGACCAAUGGGUCCUCCUACAUCUCCCCAUGGGCAGUUAGAGCCACAGCAGAUGAGCCACCAACCAGCUAUGAACCUGGUGACUUCAUAGCUGAAUGUGCUGUUAGGAGGUGCGCUCUGGUCACUGGGGGCAUGGCUGGGAAGGUUGUAUUUUGUCCCUAGCUCCUUCCUCUCUCUCUGCUUCCUGGCUGCAUGAGCGGAGCAGCUGUCUUCUGCCAUGCCUUUCCGCUAGGCUGUUUUUGCCUUGGGGUUAACCCACAUGGACUAACUCUUGGAAAUUAUGAGCCAAAAUAAACUUUUUUUCCUUAAAUUGGGAGUGUGAGAUAUUUUGUCUUAGUGACAGGAAAGUGACUAAUAUAGGAGGAUCACAGACA
rnacentral:lncRNA from 1 species